GCGGCCAUGGUGUAGCUUGGUUAGCAUAGGGGACUGUGGAUCCUCUGGGGCGGGUUCAAAUAGCAUGCAAUGGAUGAU
rnacentral:tRNA from 1 species